ensembl:lncRNA
GUCUGAUGUCCCACUCGUUUUCGGGUUUGUUGCCCGUUUGUAAAAUAUUUUAUGACGUAUACAUAUCAAUCUAUGUCUCGUCCCACUCAGUGCAUUUUGAGGGGGUGAAUCUUUUUCCAUCUCCCGAGUCGCGCCUCCCCUGGUCAGCAAAGGGUCACUGCCGCAAUGGAGUCAUCCAAACUCAGAGGAUUAAUACACAUCCAUUUAUUGACAGCGUUCUUAACAACUGACAACAGCCCACUGGAGGUAACAUUGCCUAAUGGGCUAAUUACAAUUCAUAAGCCUUACAGGUAACCAGCUGUAGGAAAUGGCUGCUACGAAGACUCAAAGAAUCCAAGAAGCCACGUCCUGGCGUCAGGUGCACAUCUUCAGUCUGAUGGGUCGUCGGAGGUGGUGGUGUUCAGUUGACGACGACAGUACCAACUUAUUUGUAAGUCCAAAGUGGUGGCACUCAGCCGCCUGCCGGCACUGCCCCACAGCUGUGCCUGUGCGCCCCUGGGGGCAGGAGCACAGGAGAGGCCCCUUCCGUGGGGACAGAGCUCUCUCCCUGCACCCCACCACUGCGCAGCCCCGAGCUGGGAGGGGGGACUGAGAGGGGCGGUCAGAUGGGCAGCAGCCCAUCACAGACGACACGCAGGCUCCUGCUCGCAAAGUACGCCGGGGAAGCGUACAUUGCCUGGGGCAGCACUCGCAGCAGGAGCCGAUACAACAGCUCCUGGUCAUAGUGCUGGGCGUACAGCACUGCAGAGCCCAGCACGGCAACGAGCAGCAGCAGGAGGCUGACGAAGAUGAGGCAGAUUGUCCUGGGGGGCAAAAGACGGCCGGGCUGGGAAUGAGGCGUUCCGACCCCACGGCAGCACAGCCCCACACAGCGCCAAAGGGGCCGCCCGGGAGCCCCGCCGGCUGCAGCGGGGUCGAGGCCAUCAGCCCACUGCCUGGAGCCCGGCUGCUGCUGGCUGGGCACAGGGCAAUGAGGGGAUACUCACUUCAUCCAGAAGGCGAGCCCUCGUCUCCUCGCCUGCUCCUUCUUCUCCUGUAGGUGAAGACGGGGCAGGGGUGCUGGUCAGGCCCUGCCGCACAGCCGGGGCUCGUGCAGGACAGUGGCAGCCCGGCAGCACGGCAGCACAGCCCCAGCACUGCAGGGAGCCCUGUCCCAAGGGACACCCUUGUCAGAUGGGGUGAGGGUCUGCUGGGUGCCCUCCAGGUCCCCACCAGGGGACAGGCAGCCCCGAUCCCCUCGCCCCUGCACACUACCUUGAUCUCCUUUGUCUCAGCCUGCAGCUGCUCUUCCAGUUGGGCAAUGAGCUGCAUUUCCUGCAAGACAAUGGAUGUGCCAUGUGGGGCGGCUGCACUGGGCCCCAUGGACCCGAGGGAUGGGGACUGAGGUCCUCCUUCAGAGCCAGAGCUGUGAGGACACUGAGCUCUGAGGACGAGCCCCCGCUUCACCCUACCUGCUUCAGCUCCUCUUUCCUGGCAGCCGUUCUUUCUUCCCGUAUUCGCUGAGCGUACUACGGGAAUGGAAAAGAGGAGUGGCCAUCAGGGCACAGGCACUCCCACGGAGCUUCAUCUGAUUCCAGCUCCAUGCCGCCAUCCCCUCCUCCCUCCUCCAUCAGGGCAGCUAGCACCCACAGAGCUGGAGCUGCAGACCCACACGAGGGGACUUCUCUAACCACACGCCCCACAGCAGUACUGCUGUGCCUGCACGCACACACCAGUCGCAUGC